GGAAGUACAAGUCGUAACAAGGUUUCCGUAGGUGAACCUGCGGAAGGAUCAUUAACAAAUCCCCCCCCCCAGUCCAUCUUCUUUGUUGAGGGUGGGCUAUCUGUUCCGGUACGGAGCGCUGUGGCGCGACGUACCGUGUUCAUCGUGCUCUGCACAAGUAUGUAAGUCGGACUGAAACAACAUGGUGGGAACUCAACAAACAACUUUUAACAAUGGAUCUCUAGGCUCUU
rnacentral:misc_RNA from 1 species